AGGAAUAUUGGUCAAUGGGCGGGAGCCUGAACCAGCCAAGUCGCGUGAGGGAGUAAGGCCCUACGGGUCGUAAACCUCUUUUGCCGUGGAGCAGGGCGGCGGACGUGUCCGCCGUUUGAGAGUACCCGGAGAAAAAGCAUCGGCUAACUCCGUUCCAGCAGCCGCGGUAAUACGGAGGAUGCGAGCGUUAUCCGGAUUUAUUGGGUUUAAAGGGAGCGUAGGCGGGUUGUUAAGUCAGUUGUGAAAGUUUGCGGCUCAACCGUAAAAUUGCAGUUGAUACUGGCAUCCUUGAGUACAGUAGAGGUAGGCGGAAUUCGUGGUGUAGCGGUGAAAUGCUUAGAUAUCACGAAGAACUCCGAUUGCGAAGGCAGCCUGCUGGACUGUAACUGACGCUGAUGCUCGAAAGUGUGGGUAUCAAACAGG
rnacentral:rRNA from 1 species